rnacentral:lncRNA from 1 species
GGAGUUGUUUGGGUGAGCAGUGGCUGGGCCCUGCUCUUCGGCUAGCUCCCAGGUGGGCGCCUCCGCGGAUGACUUUUAUCGACCAGCAGGUGGCGCUGUUGACAGGCAAAUUGGCUCCUGGUACAAGGGAAGCCAAGGCUUUCUGCUGGCAAUGCUGGCUAUAACAGACCUGGCCACAUGGCGCUCAGCUGGCCCCACAGCAGGUGGAACUUCCCUUCUCCUGCUCCAGGGCCCAGCAUCUCAGCAGGAGACAGAUUGCAUCAGCUGUCCCCAGACUGGCAAGAGGUGGCAGAGCGGAGGACCGAGGACGUGAGCCCCAUGCUCGAUCGAUCUCAGGUACUUCCACAGGGGCGUCCGUGUGCCAGCCGGAGAUUGAUGAAGCCUCGAAUAACGAGGCUUCCCACGCAACAUUUAUUAAAUGAGAAUCUAGAAUUCAUUAACACGGGAACUUGUCUGGAGAAUACGAGGGGGGCGAACCCUGAGCUGCUGCACUUACUGGUAGCUUAAUAUAUGAAGGCCAUUUGGACUCUUAUGAGA